UCUUCGAGCCGACCCCUCUGGCAGGCAAGGCGUUGCCUGCGAUGUCGGUUCGCAAUG
rnacentral:ncRNA from 1 species